UCUUUUGUUUUUUUUAUAUUGUACAGCAUUGAGUGCAGGAUUAAUAGAGCUUACAUUUACAAAAGAACAUUGCUUACAUUGUUGUAAAGGUGUGUAUACAAAGAUUCAAGCCAAAUGUAGGAAUUUAUGUACAAAAAAGUAUACAGUUCCCAAUAUAUAUGAAACGAAGAAAGAUUGCCUUAUUGGUUGUAAAGAUGUUAUCCUUGCCUGCAGAGAAGGAUGUCUAGUUGCAUGUAAAGAUAUGUUUAAUCCAAG